CCUUAACUCUGGGAUAAGCCUGGGAAACUGGGUCUAAUACCGGAUAGGAGCGCCUACCGCAUGGUGGGUGUUGGAAAGAUUUAUCGGUUUUGGAUGGACUCGCGGCCUAUCAGCUUGUUGGUGAGGUAAUGGCUCACCAAGGCGACGACGGGUAGCCGGCCUGAGAGGGUGACCGGCCACACUGGGACUGAGACACGGCCCAGACUCCUACGGGAGGCAGCGGUGGGGAAUAUUGCACAAUGGGCGCAAGCCUGAUGCAGCGACGCCGCGUGAGGGAUGACGGCCUUCGGGUUGUAAACCUCUUUCAGUAGGGAAGAAGCGAAAGUGACGGUACCUGCAGAAGAAGCACCGGCUAACUACGUGCCAGCAGCCGCGGUAAUACGUAGGGUGCGAGCGUUAUCCGGAAUUAUUGGGCGUAAAGAGCUCGUAGGCGGUUUGUCGCGUCUGUCGUGAAAGUCCGGGGCUUAACCCCGGAUCUGCGGUGGGUACGGGCAGACUAGAGUGCAGUAGGGGAGACUGGAAUUCCUGGUGUAGCGGUGGAAUGCGCAGAUAUCAGGAGGAACACCGAUGGCGAAGGCAGGUCUCUGGGCUGUAACUGACGCUGAGGAGCGAAAGCAUGGGGAGCGAACAGGAUUAGAUACCCUGGUAGUCCAUGCCGUAAACGUUGGGCACUAGGUGUGGGGACCAUUCCACGGUUUCCGCGCCGCAGCUAACGCAUUAAGUGCCCCGCCUGGGGAGUACGGCCGCAAGGCUAAAACUCAAAGGAAUUGACGGGGGCCCGCACAAGCGGCGGAGCAUGCGGAUUAAUUCGAUGCAACGCGAAGAACCUUACCAAGGCUUGACAUGUUCUCGAUCGCCGUAGAGAUACGGUUUCCCCUUUGGGGCGGGUUCACAGGUGGUGCAUGGUUGUCGUCAGUUCGUGUCGUGAGAUGUUGGGUUAAGUCCCGCAACGAGCGCAACCCUCGUUCCAUGUUGCCAGCACGUAAUGGUGGGGACUCAUGGGAGACUGCCGGGGUCAACUCGGAGGAAGGUGAGGACGACGUCAAAUCAUCAUGCCCCUUAUGUCUUGGGCUUCACGCAUGCUACAAUGGCCGGUACAAUGGGUUGCGAUACUGUGAGGUGGAGCUAAUCCCAAAAAGCCGGUCUCAGUUCGGAUUGGGGUCUGCAACUCGACCCCAUGAAGUCGGAGUCGCUAGUAAUCGCAGAUCAGCAACGCUGCGGUGAAUACGUUCCCGGGCCUUGUACACACCGCCCGUCAAGUCACGAAAGUCGGUAACACCCGAAGCCGGUGGCCUA
rnacentral:rRNA from 1 species